CCUUCUUUUCUCCUGAAGGCAGAGUGAAACACACAAUGAGUAAUCGAUCCGGUGAGAGUGGCUACCUGUUACUUGGGUCCAUACGACUGGCUGAUAAACGACUUGUUCCUCCGAUCUCUUCGUACAGGGUGCUCGGGCGGCGCCUCCCCUUCUGCACACUCCGAGGUGAGCGCCAACCCGCGACACAGAACUCCAAUGGCACUGCAAGAGAGAGGUCACUCAAACUGCGGGGGACAACACAGGUAGGUACUUCACAGGCAACUGGGGCUCUAUUCUCACUUUAGUGAUUCGUAGCAAUGGACAAAGGUAAGUAUUCCACAGGCAACUGGGGCUCUAUUCUCACUUUAGUGAUUCGCAGCAAUGGACAAAGGUAAGUAUUCCACAGGCAACUGGGGCUCUAUUCUCACUUUAGUGAUUCGUAGCAAUGGACAAAGGUAGGUAUUUCACAGGCAACUGGUGCUCUAUUCUCCCUUUAGUGAUUCGUAGCAAUGGACAAAGGUAAGUAUUCCACAGGCAACUGGGGCUCUAUUCUCACUUUAGUGAUUCGCAGCAAUGGACAAAGGUAAGUAUUCCACAGGCAACUGGGGCUCUAUUCUCACUUUAGUGAUUCGCAGCAAUGGACAAAGGUAGGUAUUUCACAGGCAACUGGUGCUCUAUUCUCCCUUUAGUGAUUCGUAGCAAUGGACAAAGGUAAGUAUUCCACAGGCAACUGGGGCUCUAUUCUCCUAGAAUACUUCUCCUGGGCGGUGGGCUUACGGUGAAAUACUGCGAUACAGUAAGUAGAUGAACUGUCAGACCUGGAGUAGUAAGUCGUCGUAGCGCAGGCCUCCACAGGGAUUUCCUGUGCGUCGGGGAAAGUUAAACACUGUCGCACCGGCCCGAACGCUUCCCUCUCCUCUCUUCUAUUUGCAGUUUAAGGGAUCUGGACCGGGGUGAACCUUUGAAGAGGCUCCACAACAGGUAAAGUAAAUCCACACAGCUAAUUUGCAACAGUAAAACUUCCUCCUUGCAUAUAGGUAUAAUUUUUGGCUUUUACUCACACCAGUCUUGCUUACGUGUAUUCUUCACCACCGCUUCCACAGAGCCAGGGUAUUCUGAAAGGGUCCAGACAGGACGUUACAUUUGGGUCUCCAUGCAGGGGUCGCAAAAUGGCAUUUAGAUGAAAAUGGCGCUUCACCAGCCUCAACGGUCACUGGUCUCCCCCACGACUCAUCCAGUCCAGGGUGGCUACUGACAACACAACCACAGCAUACCACUGCAAGAUUUCAAGUGUACACACUCACAGCAAAGACAAGGACUCACCCACUGCACUCCACACACUCUACGUGAAAUAGGGUCAGAACCACGGUUUACUAGGACUUAUCCUGGGGUUUCGUUGGGCGUUGUUGAUAGAUGAAGGGCCGGAGGAAUAACGUUGCCGUCACGACUGCUUGCGGCUUCCUGUACUCGUACUUCCCGGCUCACCCAAAACUCUGCUCCGUAAUGGGGCCGCUGGCCUAUUUACCAGAUGCUCACAACAUACGCUGGAUAAUGCACUCUCCCCAAUGAUGUACAAUGCACUGUCCAAUAGUACUCACAAAUGAACGAUAACACUCUUCCUUUGUCUCCUUCUCCUUCUAGCUGUCCAAUCCUCUUCACACCAUCGGUUUUCCGUUGCUGGAGAUCGCCCUUGACGUUACUUCCGGUGAGUACUUCCUAUGACUGUGACUCCAACACAUCAGUAGUUUAUAUAUAGAUGGUCUCAUCAAACAUCAAUAAAUGUUGUAUACUCAGCCCAGUUACUAGUGUCCUUGUCUCCUUCUUCACCCCGUGAAGAUCCUCUGCCUUCACCAAUGCUGACUCUGCCCAAACCUCUACACUGCCCGCCGGUUCGGCCUGAAACGAUUCAACUCCAACUCCUGUUUGAAUUUCUGAGACUCUUUUUAUACCCUUCCUGUUCUCUCCAUUGUCCAAUCCACGAUCGCCGCGUUUAUUGUCCUCACCUGUGCCUCGUACAGCCCAAUUUGCCUCCCGGAAUUUCCCGGAAGUUCCGGUGUUUGUAAUAUACGGGCCGGGCGGAAACCAUCUUCGGGCGGAACCAACCUUCGCCACUUUUGGUUCCGCCCCCAAAAAGUCACAGUGUGACAUCUGC